CGUUCAGGGGUAAACCUGCGAAACUCGAAUGAACGAACGGGGAGAUUCAUCGUCAUUCGGCUGGCGGCUGCGCCGCUGUGCGAUGCGCGUCCCUUCGGCGGCCUCGGUCGUCGUCGCGAGACGCGCACGUGCGCGGCGUUAGCGUCACGUCAGUCGACGGCGUGCACUUCUCCCUUAGUACUGCAUCGCGACCCGCUCGAUGUCGGUCUAAGCUCCGUCCGGGAGUCCGUAGCGUUUUAUCGCGUUGCGGACCGGACGGAAGCCGGCCGGCUGUCGGGCGGUAGUUGACAUGAAACGCGCACGCGCUCGUCGCGUCCGGCCCGACGCAAGGCCGCCGUCUAGCCGCUGUGUUGCCAUCUACGUGCGGACAGUGUGCUUCCGGUGCCUGCUCAUCGCAGCCGUGCCGUCUCGGACGUGCGUGUAUCGAGUCGGCGAUGUUUUUGUUUCGGGCACUCGCAGGACCCGUCUUGAAACACGGACCAAGGAGUCUAGCAUGUGUGCGAGUCAAUAGGUGCUAUAAAACCGAAAGGCGUAACGAAAGUGAAGGCGCGCGCUUGCCGUGCGCUCGGGGAGGAUGGCGGUGCGCUCUCGUGGCCGCCGCCCGCACUCCCGAGGCGUCCCGUUCGCAAUCUGUCGAUGUGGGCGCGCUCAGAGCACAAAUGCUGGGACCCGAAAGAUGGUGAACUAUGCCUGGUCAGGUCGAAGUCAGGGGAAACCCUGAUGGAGGACCGUAGCGAUUCUGACGUGCAAAUCGAUCGUCGGAACUGGGUAUAGGGGCGAAAGACUAAUCGAACCAUC
rnacentral:rRNA from 1 species